ACUUGAUUGAACAAAACAUGCAUGUAUUGUAUAACAUAAUGUCCUAGGAGUGUCAUCUGAUCAUCAAAGGUUAGUGCUGCAUUUAGCUGUGGUUUUGGUUUUUGUGACAUUAUAUGCUAGCUUGAAAAAUGGGUGUGUGAUUAUUUCUGGCUGGGUACUCUCCUGACAUAAUCUAAUGUUUUGCUUUCAUUGUAAAGCCUUUUUGAAAUCGGACAAUGUGGUUAGAUAAAGGAGAGUCUUGUCUUUAAAAUGGUGUAAAAUAGUCAUAUGUUUGAGAAAUGGAAGUUUUGGGAUUUUUGAGGUGUUUGUAAUUCGCGCCACGCUCUAUCAUUGGAUAUUGGAGAGGCGUUCCGCUAGCGGCACAUCUAGAUGUAAGAGGUUAACAGUCUGAUGGCCUUGAGAUAGAAGCUGUUUUUCAAUCUCUCAGUCCCAGCUUUGAUGCACCUGUACUGACCUCGCCUUCUGGAUGAUAGCGGGGUGAACAGGCAGUGGCUCGGGUGGAUGUUGUCCUUGAUGAUCUGUUUGGCCUUCCUGUGACAUCGGGUGGUGUAGGUGUCCUGGAGGGCAGGUAGUUUGCCCCAUGGUGAUGCGUUGUGCAGACCUCACUACCCUCUGGAGAGCCCUGCUGUUGUGGGCGGAGCAGUUGCCGUACCAGGACGUGAUACAGAUAUGUGUUCAACUGAAUGAAACGGAGGAAGAUGUGUUCAACUGAAUGGAAUGGAGGAAGAUGUGUUCAACUGAAUGGAAUGGAGGAAGAUGUGUACAACUGAAUGAAACGGAGGAAGAUGUGUUCAACUGAAUGGAAUGGAGGAAGAUGUGUUCAACUGAAUGGAAUGGAGGAAGAUGUGUUCAACUGAAUGAAAUGGAGGAAGCUAUCAAAUGUCAAUCAAGUUUCCACCUCUGAUUUGGCCUCUAAUCAAUCAAUCAAUCAAUCAAUCAAUCAAUCAAUCAAUCAAUCAAUAUGUAUUUAUAAAACCCUUAUUACAUCAGCUGAUGUCACAGAGUGC
rnacentral:lncRNA from 1 species